ensembl:misc_RNA 7SK 7SK RNA
GGACAUCUGGGUGAUCUGUCUGUGAUAGCCAUCACCCACUGACCUCUUGGAAUGAGUCACUUGAUCUGGCUGGCUGGAGGGCUAGACUGCCUCAGUCCUUUCUGCUCUAUAUACAUCUGUCAAAAAACUUAGUCCCGGGGGUUUGAACUAUUCCCCCAAUUAAAGAGGAUAAGAAUUCUUCAGUCAAGAAAGUGGAAGUGGUAGUUCUUUGGGGUCUAGCUCCGAAGUUACUUUUCCAGUGAAACCUUUCCUGAAGUCUUU